CCUACGGGAGGCAGCAGUGGGGAAUCUUGCACAAUGGAGGAAACUCUGAUGCAGCGAUGCCGCGUGAGUGAAGAAGGCCUUUGGGUUGUAAAGCUCUUUUGUAGGGGAAGAUAAUGACUGUACCCUAAGAAUAAGGUCCGGCUAACUUCGUGCCAGCAGCCGCGGUAAUACGAAGGGACCUAGCGUAGUUCGGAAUUACUGGGCGUAAAGCGCGCGUAGGCCGUUGAGUUAGUUAAUUGUGAAAUCCCAAAGCUUAACUUUGGAACUGCAAUUAAAACUGCUCGACUAGAGUUUGAUAGAGGAAAGCGGAAUACAUAGUGUAGAGGUGAAAUUCGUAGAUAUUAUGUAGAACACCAGUUGCGAAGGCGGCUUUCUGGAUCAACACUGACGCUGAGGCGCGAAAGUAUGGGUAGCAAAGAGGAUUAGAUACCCUCGUAGUCCAUACCAUAAACGAUGAUUGCUAGAUGUUGGAAAUUUAUUUUCAGUAUCGCAGCUAACGCAUUAAGCAAUCCGCCUGGGGAGUACGACCGCAAGGUUAAAACUCAAAUGAAAUUGACGGCUUGAGAGUUGCGAGCGACACGAGGGAGAG
rnacentral:rRNA from 1 species